UACGGAGGAUCCAGCGUUAUCCGGAUUUAUUGGGUUUAAAGGGUGCGUAGGCGGGUCUUUAAGUCAGGGGUGAAAUCCUGGAGCUCAACCUCCAGAACUGCCUUUUGAUAACUGAGGAUCUUGAGUUCGGGAGAGGUGAGUGGAACUGCGAGUGUAGAGGGUGAAAAUUCGUAGAUAUUGCAAGAACACCAGUGGCGAAGGCGGCUCACUGGCCCGAUACUGACGCUGAGGCACGAAAGCGAUGGG
rnacentral:rRNA from 1 species